GAUGAAGAACGUAGUGAAAUGCGAUAAUUAAUGUGAAUUGCAGAAUUCAGUGAAUCAUCGAGUUUUUGAACGCACAUUGCGCCCCCUGGUAUUCCGGGGGGCAUGCCUGUCCGAGCGUCAUUGCUGCCCUCAAGCACGGCUUGUGUGUUGGGCUUCCGUCCCUGGCAACGGGGACGGGCCCAAAAGGCAGUGGCGGCACCAUGUCUGGUCCUCGAGCGUAUGGGGCUUUGUCACCCGCUCCCGUAGGUCCAGCUGGCAGCUAGCCUCGCAACCAAUCUUUUUAACCAGGUUGACCUCGGAUCAGGUAGGGAUACCCGCUGAACUUAAGCAUAUCAAUAAGCGGAGGA
rnacentral:misc_RNA from 1 species